rnacentral:miRNA from 1 species
UUGUUUUGGGUGAAACGGGUGU